UUUAUUAGAUGGCAAGGCUGCUGCAGCAGAGAAGAAAAAUUCCAAGGAUGAAACAUCUUCGAAAGAUUCACAGGGGCUGCUGCAUGCCCCAUUUUUCACUUCUUUCUAAUUGUGGCACUUGAAAGUGCUUGGAAUUGGAACUAGCUGUGUGAGAUCUUGUAUUUCGCUGACAAGUCAGAGCCUAUGAUGCCACCUUAUGCAGCACUUUAUUCACCUGGAGGGGUUUAUACUCAUCCUGCCAUUCCUAUUGGGUCAUAUCCACACGGACAAGGAGUUCCAUCUUCACCUGCUAUAAGCUAUGAUGUUUUCUGAGAUCAGUUCCUAAUUUAGG